rnacentral:rRNA from 1 species
CCUACGGGAGGCAGCAGUGAGGAAUAUUGGUCAAUGGGCGCAAGCCUGAACCAGCCAAGUCGCGUGAAGGAUGACGGCCCUAUGGGUUGUAAACCUCUUUUAUAAGGGAAUAAAGUGCGGCACGUGUGCCUUUUUGCGUGUACUUUAUGAAUAAGCAUCGGCUAACUCCGUGCCAGCAGCCGCGGUAAUACGGAGGAUGCGAGCGUUAUCCGGAUUUAUUGGGUUUAAAGGGAGCGUAGAGGGGUGGUUAAGUCAGUGGUGAAAAUUUGGGGCUCAACCCCAGCAGUGCGGUUGAUACUGGCAGUCUUGAGUAGGCGAGAGGUAGGCGGAAUGCGUGGUGUAGCGGUGAAAUGCUUAGAUAUCACGAAGAACUCCGAUUGCGAAGGCAGCUUAC